rnacentral:rRNA from 1 species
UACAGAGGGGGCAAGCGUUAUUCGGAAUUAUUGGGCGUAAAGGGCGCGUAGGCGGCUUGGCAAGUGGAUGGUGAAAUCCCUCGGCUUAACCGAGGAACUGCCGUCCAAACUGCUUAGCUUGAGACCGGGAGAGGUGAGUGGAAUUCCCAGUGUAGCGGUGAAAUGCGUAGAUAUUGGGAGGAACACCAGUGGCGAAGGCGGCUCACUGGACCGGUACUGACGCUGAGGCGCGAAAGCGUGGGGAGCAACGGG